CACGUAGGGCGCAAGCGUUGUCCGGAAUUAUUGGGCGUAAAGAGCUCGUAGGUGGUUUGUUACGUCUGCUGUGAAAACCUAGGGCUUAACCCUGGGCUUGCAGUGGAUACGGGCAGACUAGAGGUAGGUAGGGGAGAAUGGAAUUCCUGGUGUAGCGGUGAAAUGCGCAGAUAUCAGGAGGAACACCGGUGGCGAAGGCGGUGGUCUGGGCCGGAACUGACGCUGAGGAGCGAAAGCGUGGGGAGCGAACAGG
rnacentral:rRNA from 1 species